GCAAGUCGAACGGAGUUAUAAGAGUAGUAAUACAAUUAUAAUUUAGUGGCGAACGGGUGCGUAACACGUGAGCAAUCUGCCGGGAAGUGUGGGAUAGCUCGCCGAAAGGCGAAUUAAUACCGCAUGUGGCUAGGGGUGACAUCACUCUGAAGCCAAAGUCGCAAGACGCUUCCUGAUGAGCUCGCGGCCUAUCAGCUAGUUGGUGAGGUAACGGCUCACCAAGGCAAUGACGGGUAGCUGGUCUGAGAGGACGACCAGCCACACUGGAACUGAGACACGGUCCAGACACCUACGGGUGGCAGCAGUCGAGAAUUUUUCACAAUGGGGGAAACCCUGAUGGAGCGACGCCGCGUGGAGGACGAAGGUCUUCGGAUUGUAAACUCCUGUCAUGCGGGAACAAGAAAGUGAUAGUACUGCAAGAGGAAGAGACGGCUAACUCUGUGCCAGCAGCCGCGGUAAUACAGAGGUCUCAAGCGUUGUUCGGAUUCAUUGGGCGUAAAGGGUGCGUAGGUGGCGUGGAAAGUUGAGUGUGAAAUCCUAGGGCUUAACCUUAGAACUGCACUCAAUACUCCCAUGCUAGAGGAAUGUAGAGGAGAGUGGAAUUCACGGUGUAGCAGUGAAAUGCGUAGAUAUCGUGAGGAAGACCAGUUGCGAAGGCGACUCUCUGGGCAUCUCCUGACACUGAGGCACGAAGGCUAGGGGAGCAAACGGGAUUAGAUACCCCGGUAGUCCUAGCAGUAAACGGUGCACGUUUGGUGUGGGCAGGCUCAGACCCUGUCCGUGCCGGAGCUAACGCGUUAAACGUGCCGCCUGGGAAGUACGGUCGCAAGAUUAAAACUCAAAGAAAUUGACGGGGGCCCGCACAAGCGGUGGAGUAUGUGGCUUAAUUCGAUGCAACGCGAAGAACCUUACCUGGUCUUGACAUGCAUCUC
rnacentral:rRNA from 1 species